rnacentral:lncRNA from 10 species
CCUUUCCUUCCUUCCUUCCUUCCCUCUUUCUUUCUUCCUCCCUCCCUCCCUCUCUCUUUCUCUCUCUCUCUUGCUUUCUUUCCUUUCUCUUUCUCUCUUUUCUUUACUCUUUUCUUUCUUUCAAGACAGGGUCUGGCUCUGUCACCCAGGCUGGAGUGUGGUGUUGCAAUCACGGCUCACUUGCACUCUUGGGAUCAAGCGAUCCUCUGGCCUCAGCUCUGGGACUAUGGGAGUGAGCCACCGCGCCCCACCCCUGCUCUUUUCUGAGUGGAGUGGUUACUGCUGGUGCUGCUUGCUGCCUGGCGCGCCGCAUGGCCUUGCUAGAGCCGCUUUGUGCAUGCUGGUGGAUACUUGGCCGUGUAGUCCACGGCUCACAGCAAGAACGAGGCCCUGGGAGGUUUGGAAGAAAUACAAGCUGUGGACCUCACCUGGAGGGGAGGCUUUGCAGCAGACUCCUGUGCUCAAGCGAUCCACAUGACUCGGCCUCCCCAAGUGCUGGGAUCACAGGCGUGAGCCCCCGUGCCCGGCCAGCCCUGGAUGUUCAUCACCUGCGUCUAUGGGCAUCUCUCCGUCACACUCCCUUUUGGAAGUUACUGUUUCUUUUUGGUCAAUUCAUUGCCUCUAACUUCAGAGCCCUACUCACGUGUAUUUAUCCCCCUUGAUUCCCCAAAACUUAUCGGCUUACCCAGACCUUCCCCCAUUAAAUGCUUUCCCUCCCUCCCAUGGCCCUUCCGUUUUCCCGAGCCCAGCUCUGUGGCGUUGAUCUGCUCAAAGUUUUGGUACUUGUGGUGGGUGUGCCUGAGUCUCUUUGUUCUGACUUUACUGAGACAUUGAUCGCCGUAAAGGUCCCAUCUCUUGCAGCAUCUUCUGAAUUUCUCUUCUCGUUUAAAAACUUCCUCCAAUAUCCACUUGGAAAAAGAUAAAAUUAGAUCCAUUCCUCACAUCACAUACAAGAAGGAACUCCAAAUAGACUGGAGAUCUUGACAUAAAGAAGAAAACUGUACAAAAACCAGAAGAAACCCGAGGGAACUUCCCUGAAACCCGGGUGUAGGGAGAAGUACUGACUCCCACGCCAGCACAAUUAAAGAAAUACUGAUACAUUUGGCUUCAUAAAAAUAAACUUGUACUGUGGCAACAAACCACAAGUGAAGUCUAAAGAUAAAAGAC